rnacentral:rRNA from 1 species
GACGAACGCUGGCGGCGUGCUUAACACAUGCAAGUCGAACGGCAAGGCCCUGCUUUUGUCGGGUGCUCGAGUGGCGAACGGGUGAGUAACAAGUGAGUCACCUGCCCUUGACUAUGGGAUGACUUCUGGAAACUGGGGCUAAUACCGGCUCGGAGCUCCUGCUGCAGGGUGGGGGUUGGAUAGUUUCGGCGGUUGGGGAUGGACUCGCGGCUUAUCAGCUUGUUGGUGGGGUAGUGGCUUACCAAGGCUUUGACGGGUAGCCGGCCUGAGAGGGUGACCGGCCACAUUGGGACUGAGAUACGGCCCAGACUCCUACGGGAGGCAGCAGUGGGGAAUAUUGCACAAUGGGCGGAAGCCUGAUGCAGAAACGCCGCGUGCGGGAUGACGGCCUUCGGGUUGUAAACCGCUUUCGCCUGUGACGAAGCGUGAGUGACGGUAAUGGGUAAAGAAGCACCGGCUAACUACGUG